rnacentral:siRNA from 1 species
AUACCUUGUGCCUAGAAUGUUGGU